rnacentral:ncRNA from 2 species
AUAGCUAUGCAGGGGAACUAAUAAUAGUUGAGAUUGAUAUGUAUAUAUCUAACCCUUUGAACCUGACAGUUAACACUGUGGUAGGGAGCAUUCGAUGAGUAAUA